ACGACUAAGUUCAAGCAUGUAUACCAAACCGAAACCGAAAUCGAAAUCGAAAUAAAUGCGCUAUUUUGGUUUUUGUAAACGCAGAACUGGCAAACUUGAUUCUAAUUAUGUAUGAACCCCUCAUAACCAUCCAUCCAACUGCAUCUCUCAUUUAAGUUCGACUUGCGAGGGAGGCGUUGUCAGCAGUUGAACUUGGGACAGCAGCCGGGAUAGGGUUUGCUCAGAUCCUCUUCCAUUUUGCAGGGCUUCAAGGAGGCGAUGGCCGGGCAUCUGGAUGGCCACAAGUGGCAAGUCACCUGUUUGGGUGCCUGGCAGGUGUACUGCAGGCAGCGACCUUCCGGCGUGUACUUCUCUCCGGUCUUGAACUGAUGCCCACCGAUCUCGCAAUCCACUACGAAUGAACAAGAUGAACAUGCGGGAUUGAAUGGUUUGUGGCGACGAUGCACUGCAUCCACUUACCGGCGAACACCAGCAGCGAGUGGGCGCCCAGAACGAGCAGGCAGAGUACGAACGUGACCGAUUUCAUAUUAUGUAGCUAACUGAUCAACGGAUCGCUCGGCUGGGCGACUAUAUAGUUCCACUUGUUUCGGGGUGCGCCAGCGAUUAGACUGAAAGGUCAAGAUCCCUGUGCUCCCGUGCGAUUGCGUCUCAGGGGUCCUCGGGUUUAUCAAAUAGGUGGAAAAUUCUCGUUACAUACAGAUUCGUUCCGGAGGCUGGCGAAACAGCUGCAGUUCCAGUGAUAACAUCAUUAGUUUCUUAAACUAUAUAUGUUUUUAUUUAACUAAAGAUUAUACUUGUUACUAGUACUUUGGCUAACUUUGCCACAAGAUCAAUGGAUUAUAGUUUAAAUAGAAAUAGUAAUUCCGAACAGAUCGAUGCUUUUGGAUCUAGUAUCUUGUAUCUAGUAUUCGUCGGAGCACUCGAGUUGGGGACAGCACUCGGGGAACUUGAAAUCAUAGUCGUUGGGUGAGAGGUGGCAGCCAGGUCGCGGCCAUGGCUGUUUGUCGCAGCUGGAAGGGAUUGGGCGAAAUGGGAUAUAGUGAGGGCAUGCGAUCAAAUCUCGAAACUUACUGGCGUAUCAACAGCAGAUAGUCAUCGGUGCACUCCAAGCGAAUGCAGUAGCCCUGCUGACCGGAGGGCAGAACGUAGCCAUUGAGUGGAACGGCCAGGUCCAACUCCUCGUAGAGGCAGUGCUCCGCCAGGCUAGGGUGCUGCGUGUGACCACGAUACUGGGUGCUGAACCCAUUGCCGUCCACCGAUGCGGCCAGCAGACAGGCCACAAAAGCUAGGGACAUCCAAGCUGCUCCGGACAUGGUUGCUCUCGUUGUGGAAUAGCAUUGGGUCGUCACCGGAACUCAUCUCUUAUAGGCGGCGGGCCAUCCAUCUUAUCAGCUGGCUAUCAACGCUCUCGUGAUUCCGAUUUCGGCUGCGUUUGCCUUGCUCUCGUCAUCUGGAAGUGGAGGAAGUGGCGCACCACGUUAUCGCACUUGCUGACACUCGAGGAUGUUGGCCUAGACCAG
ensembl:ncRNA asRNA:CR44054 antisense RNA:CR44054